rnacentral:rRNA from 1 species
CCUACGGGUGGCAGCAGUGAGGAAUAUUGGUCAAUGGACGAGAGUCUGAACCAGCCAAGUAGCGUGACGGAUGACUGCCCUAUGUGUUGUCAACUUCUUUUAUAUGGGAAUAAAAUGUUCCACGUGUGGGCUUUUGUAUGUACCAUAUGAAUAAGCAUCGGCUAACUCCGUGCCAGCAGCCGCGGUAAUACGGAGGAUCCGAGCGUUAUCCGGAUUUAUUGGGUUUAAAGGGAGCGUAGGUGGAUUGUUAAGUCAGUUGUGAAAGUUUGCGGCUCAACCGUAAAAUUGCAGUUGAAACUGGCAGUCUUGAGUAGAGUAGAGGUGGGCGGAAUGCGUGGUGUAGCGGUGAAAUGCUUAGAUAUCACGAAGAACUCCGAUUGCGAAGGCAGCUCACUGGACUGCAACUGACACUGAGGCUCGAAAGUGUGGGUAUCAAACAGGAUUAGAUACCCGAGUAGUC